rnacentral:lncRNA from 1 species
GAUUUUCCGGCACAGCUGUCGAAACUCGUGCAGGUGUGUGAGGAAUGGGGGUGUUUUAGGCUGGUCAACUAUCAAUACAUCCUCCCUGAUUCGCUCAUGUCUGAGAUGAAGUCUGUAGUGAAGUCGCUGUUUGAUCUUCCUCUGGAGAUUAAGCGCCGGAAUUCUGAUGUUAUAGCGGGAAGUGGCUACUGGGCACCUUCGGAGAUGAACCCUCUUUAUGAGGCGUUUGGUCUUUAUGUUUCUUCGCAGCAAGAUGUUGAUGCCUUUUGCUCUCAGUUGAAUGCUACUCCUGAUCAAAGGUAACAUUGUUUGUAUCACUUGAAAAGAACACAAAGACGCAUAUUAAAUUGAAUUGAUCUUCGAGUGAGACUUUUAUUUGGGUCCUGGGCGUGGAUUGUGGUCGCAAACGUGUCAAAUCUCUCUCUCUCUCUCUCUCUGUCCCCUUUCCCUCCCUCCCUCCCUCUCUCUCUCUCUCUCCCCCCAGUAGCUUAAUAAUGAGUGGGCCAAUUAUUAUGAUUUUGAUGGUUAAAGUUACAGUUUUGAAUUUGUAUUGAAUUGGAUUGUUGAGGAUUGAUUUGAGUUGAAAUUUUCUGAACAGAGAGACUCUUACUAAGUAUGCCAAAGCAGUACAUGAGCUGUUUGAAGAGAUUAGUGGCAAAUUGGCUGAUGGAUUGGGAAUAUCCAGUUUUGCAAUUGAUGGAUGGCCUUUUCAGUUUAGGAUAAAUAAAUACAGAUUUGCGCAAGAGACUGUUGGCUCCUCUGGAGUACAAAUUCACACCGAUUCGGGGUUUCUUACCAUACUUCAGGAUGAUGAAAGUGUUGGGGGGCUAGAGGUCAUGGACAGGUCCGGAGCUUUCGUGCCCGUGGAUCCCUGGCCUAGUACACUUCUUGUCAAUCUUGGAGAUGUUGCCACGGUGAGUGACUCUUUUAUGAAAAAUGUUACUGAAUUGUAAACUUUUUUGGGAAAUUACCAUGCUUUGAUGCUAUAUGAUGUGAACCAAUUGCUUAUUUCUUACUGGUCACCGCUCUCCUUAGGAACAUUCUUGUAACAACUUAGACACAAAAAAGUUUGAUGAUAUAUAUGCUAUGCACUCUUGUGCUGUUGUGCACUGAAUAAAGAUUUAUCUAUUUUAAGUCUGUUAAAUCAUUGUAUUACAAAUUAAUAAAUCUAUAUGUGUUAUUCUACAAAAUAAUGACUACUUCUGAUUGCUAACAGUUGGUUUACUUGAAUAUACAUCACUUCUUUGUGGGAAGAAUAUGUGAAAUUCAUGAUCAAGUUGUUCCCUAGAAAUAUAGGAUAUCUGGACUCAAUUGAGAUCUAUCAUACAGGAAAUCAUAUUUUAACAGCAUGUGAGUACAGAAAAAGGAUCUUGUACUCCACUAAUUUUACAAUUAUGUGCAAGAUUUUUGUGAAGUUAUUUCAGUUAUAUAUUGUUAUUUUCGUAGUUGAUAUGACGCAAUAAUGUAAUUGCUGAUUGUGUUAAGGCUUGGAGUAACGGAAGACUACACACUGUAAAGCAUCGAGUGCAAUGCAAAGAAGCAAAUCUGAGGUAUUCAAUUGCUGCAUUUCUGUUAGGACCCAAGGAGGAAGUGGAAGCUCCAGCAGAAUUAGUAGAUGCUGCACAUCCUCGUUUGUAUGCACCCUUUACUUUUGAAGAUUACAGAAAACUUCGAUUCUCAACAAAGCUGCAUGCUGGUGAAGCCCUUGAUCUUUUACUCAUCAAACCAUGAGAAUUUGCGGAGGAAAGUAAUGGUUAGACGUGGAAGUAACUUUACUUAUUUCUAUCAUAUGUAUUUUACUAAUAAGUGUAAGUUGCACAUUUGAAAUAAUUACCGCAGCUCUGCAAUAUUUGUUCUACUCCAUUGUCUCUAUCAAUCUUCAAGCUAUAGGAAGAUUUAAACAAUCAUACACAAAUGCUGCUUAGUAUACACUCGCUAAUAUAUAAUUUCUCCGUCUGGGUCCAUUUCAGUUUUCAGAGUGAAAUUGACCAAUUUUUAACUGAACAUUACAAAUUAUCUGUUCAUUAUUUUUAAAAUCUGAAAGUUGCAUAUUCAAAUAGACUAUAUAUAUUUUUUAAUAUUAUAAUUUUUUAUUAUUUUUCAGUUAUAUAGUACAUGUAAAUUUCAGUUAAAAUAUAGUCAAUUUUAUUGGUCAAAAAUCAAAAUUAACAUAUAUUUAAAACCCUACAAAAUUAUUUAUUAUAUAUAAUAAUUUGGUGGCGUGGUCAAACAAGACGGAGUGGCAAAAUAUCACAAACGGGGAUUGAGAUUGGAGAGCCAAAUAAUUAUUCUUGAAGACGGGAAUGUGAUAGACAUGAAUUUGAACCGGGAUUGAGAUUGGAGAGUCAAAUAAUUAUCCUUGAAGACGGGAAUGUGAAGGACAUGAAUCUGAUCCCCGUCCGGAACCAGCUCCUGUUGGCGAUGUCUGCCUGGCCGGGUGCAGUCUGUCGGCUGUCAAUUAACAAAGGAUAAAAACAAAGUUCAUAUGUUUUAUUAACAAAAAAACACGCAUCAACUUUACCUAAACUUGAACAUAAAAUGACGGUCCAUGAAUUGGUUUAGUCUGAUUCUUUGUAAACCUUGUCCACAAGUGACGACAAAUUACAAUAAAAGAAGGCCACAUAACCAGCCGUUACGACAAGUUUGUCUGUACACUACUACAUGCAAACAAGUACAUACAAACAAUUACCAUUAAGCUUUUGGGUGGAUUGAUUUGGGAUUUAUGAAAUUCGUGGUUUUUCGAUUGAGUUAUUUUAAAUUUAUUAAAAUUUUGAAUUAUUUAAUUGAGAUUUUAAAUUAUACAACAAAAUCUGAUAAUAUUCAAUUAAGAUUUUAAAUUAUGUUUUAAAAUUUGAUGGUAUUCAAUUAAAAAAAUUAGAAUUGUUUCAAAUCCAUUAAAAUCAUAAUGGAUUUUUUUAGAUUUCUCAAAAUGAUUGAUAUUAUGAUAUUAUAUAUUUUGAAGUAUUGUGCUUAAAUUCUAAAAAAUCUAUAUCAAACUCUCAAACAUUUGAUAAAAUUCGGACAAAAUCAAAAUCAUGCAAUCCAUUAAAAUUUAUAAAUUAAAAACAAUUCAUACUCACUCCCGUUUAAAAAACAUCAUAAUUCAUAACCAAGUCUCCGUGCCAAGCUCCAGCAUUCAACAACAAAACUGAUCAGCAUGGCAAGUCAUUCCUGCAAUAUACCGGUGAUCGAUCUUCAAGAUUUUCCGGCACAGCGGUCGAAACUCGUGCAGGUAUGUGAGGAAUGGGGGUGUUUUAGGCUGGUCAACUAUCAACAUAUCCUCUCCGACACUCUCAUGUCUGAGAUGAAAUCUGUAGUGAAGUCCCUUUUUGACCUUCCGCUGGAGAUUAAGCGUCGGAAUUCUGAUGCUAUAGCGGGAAGUGGCUACUGGGCACCUUCGGAGAAGAACCCUCUUUAUGAGGCGUUUGGUCUUUAUGUUUCUUCGCAACAAGAUGUUGAUGCCUUUUGCUCUCAGUUGAAUGCUUCUUCUGAUCAAAG